rnacentral:rRNA from 1 species
GAUGAACGCUGGCGGCGUGCCUAAUACAUGCAAGUCGAGCGAACAGAUGAGGAGCUUGCUCCUCUGAUGUUAGCGGCGGACGGGUGAGUAACACGUGGAUAACCUACCUAUAAGACUGGGAUAACUUCGGGAAACCGGAGCUAAUACCGGAUAAUAUAUUGAACCGCAUGGUUCAAUAGUGAAAGACGGUUUUGCUGUCACUUAUAGAUGGAUCCGCGCCGCAUUAGCUAGUUGGUAAGGUAACGGCUUACCAAGGCAACGAUGCGUAGCCGACCUGAGAGGGUGAUCGGCCACACUGGAACUGAGACACGGUCCAGACUCCUACGGGAGGCAGCAGAAGGGAAUCUUCCGCAAUGGGCGAAAGCCUGACGGAGCAACGCCGCGUGAGUGAUGAAGGUCUUCGGAUCGUAAAACUCUGUUAUUAGGGAAGAACAAAUGUGUAAGUAACUAUGCACGUCUUGACGGUACCUAAUCAGAAAGCCACGGCUAACUACGUG